rnacentral:piRNA from 1 species
UGGUGAAUGCAUAUUGGAGAGUUCCUUGU